AACGAACGCUGGCGGCAUGCCUAACACAUGCAAGUCGAACGAGACCUUCGGGUCUAGUGGCGCACGGGUGCGUAACGCGUGGGAACCUGCCCUUAGGUUCGGAAUAACUCCCCGAAAGGGGUGCUAAUACCGGAUAAUGUCUUCGGACCAAAGAUUUAUCGCCUUUGGAUGGGCCCGCGUUGGAUUAGCUAGUUGGUAGGGUAAAAGCCUACCAAGGCGACGAUCCAUAGCUGGUCUGAGAGGAUGAUCAGCCACGCUGGGACUGAGACACGGCCCAGACUCCUACGGGAGGCAGCAGUGGGGAAUAUUGGAAAAUGGGCGAAAGCCUGAUCCAGCAAUGCCGCGUGAGUGAUGAAGGCCUUAGGGUUGUAAAGCUCUUUUCACCGGGAUGAUAAUGACGGUACCGGGAGAAUAAGCUCCGGCUAACUACGUG
rnacentral:rRNA from 1 species